AUGUGCCUGAGCUCCACCAGCAGGAGCGCCGAGGCUGCUCCCCUGGCCUGCAGAACCCGGCGGGCAGGGCUGUGCCCCGCUCCCCCCACGUUGGUGUUCGUGGGCCCUGGUUGGAUAGGGCCCCUCCUCGAAGCGGUUUUGUUUCUCCCGUUGCUUCCCUUUUCUCCCUCGAUCUGUCCGGAGAAGAAGGAUGGUGGGUUCUUUCUUUCGGCGGUCUUAGACCCAGAAUCUGCAAGGGGCAGCUCAGGCCAGUUAUUUGGAGAUCAUCACUUCUCUCUGGUUGCAGAGGACCCUGGUCUUGCCCCAUCUCCAUCUGUCUCACCAAUACGGAGUCUCACCAAAGGGCCCGACUUGGAUGACGUCCAUUUGAGGAAGUGCUACCAUGACCUCCUUGGAAUAAACAUUGGUCAGGAUGUACUUUGGAUCUUAUUUACCAGAAUUUUGGAGAACAUCGGACCUCACAGAUCUCAUCAAGUGCUCCCUCCUAGGAUGCAGGUGGCAGCUCAGAAUAUAUCCUGGGACACUUGUUGCACAUUUCCCCCCAGGGAGUCCAUGCUUCCAGGAAGGCGUCUGCUUUGCUUUCUUCUGGCAGUGCAAGAGCACUACUAGUGCACCAAGGUUGCUCUCUCUGGCUAUUCAUUUUCAUCACUUUCCCUGGGGUCACUCUGCUAGUUGCUUGAGUCCUUCACUCUCACUUUUUAGAGAGAUGAUGCCACGAAAAAACUGGCUUGGGCCCUCAUCUCUCUGAGGUUCCUGUGCCACAAAAACUGGACCUUGGGGCUUGGUCUCGGUAUCUGAAGGGAUCAGGAGAGUAUAUAUUUGGGUUCCCCAGGAUGUGAGUUUUACAGCCACUCCAACAUCAAUGCCUCAGGGCACUAACUUUUCAGUCAUUUAUCUAUUAGUGCUUAAAACUGUACCAAGAGUUUGGGGACAGCCUGAAUGUGUGUAUUGCACAUAUGUGCGUAUAUCAUAUAUAGGCAUGUAACAUAAAUAUACAUUUGUUAUAUACAUAUAAUUUAUGUCUAUAUUUGUAUUUGGAUGUUAAAACAGAAGGUAUCAAUAAAAUAAAAUACCUAUUUUUAUAAUAAUUAUAUUAUAGUAUAAAAUUAUAUUAUAAAUAAUAUUUUAUAAGUGGGAGCUAUUAAAAGA
rnacentral:lncRNA from 1 species